AGGGCGUAUGGCGGAUGCCUAGGCUCACGGAGGCGAUGAAGGACGUGAUAAGCUGCGAUAAGCUUCGGGUAGGUGCAAAUAACCUUUGAUCCGAAGAUUUCCGAAUGGGACAACCUAGCCGUCUGAAGGACGGUUACUCUUACCAAUGUAAGAGAGCUAACGCAGGGAACUGAAACAUCUUAGUACCUGCAGGAAGAGAAAAUAAAUGAAUGAUUCCCCCAGUAGUGGCGAGCGAACGGGGAACAGCCCAAACCAGUGGCGUCGCAAGGCGUGGCUGGGGUUGUAGGACCGCGACAUUGUAUGCAAAUCGUGAACAGAACACUUUGGAAAAUGUGACCAUAGACGGUGAUAGUCCAGUAUGUGAAGCGAAAUGCAGCAUAGCGGUAUCCUGAGUAACGCGGGACACGAGGAAUCCUGCGCGAAUCUGCCGGGACCAUCCGGUAAGGCUAAAUACUCCCGUGAGACCGAUAGCGAACGAGUACUGUGAAGGAAAGGUGAAAAGAACCCCGAGCAGGGGAGUGAAAUAGUUCCUGAAACCAUACGCCUACAAGCGGUCGGAGCAUCGUAAGAUGUGACGGCGUGCCUUUUGCAUAAUGAUCCUACGAGUUACCGUCACUGGCGAGGUUGAGUGUCAUGAGACACGUAGCCGCAGUGAAAGCGAGCCUGAAUAGGGCGCACAGUCAGUGGGGGUAGACGCGAAACCAAGUGAUCUACACUUGGCCAGGAUGAAGUCCCGGUAACACGGGAUGGAGGUCCGCACCAAUAAGCGUUGAAAAGCUUCUGGAUGAGCCGAGUGUAGGAGUGAAAGGCCAAUCAAACUUGGAGAUAGCUCGUACUCCCCGAAAGGCAUUUAGGUGCCGCGUCGGAUGGUCACCGUGAGAGGUAGAGCGACCGAUAGGACAAGAGGGCUUCACCGCCUAUCGAGUCCUGACGAACUCCGAAUGCUCACGGUCUGCAGUCCGGCAGUAAGGGGGCGGGUGCUAAGGUCCGUCCCCGAGAGGAGAAGAAUCCAGACCGCCGUCUAAGGUCCCGGAGUUCUGCCUGAGUUAGUCUAACGAAGUCUGGUCCCUAUGACAGCUAGGAUGUUGGCUUGGAAGCAGCCAUUCAUUCAAAGAGUGCGUAACAGCUCACUAGUCGAGGGUCCGGGCAUGGAUAAUAAUCGGGUAUAAGGCAGACACCGAAGGCGCGGGAUAGCAAUUAUAAAAGUAUCGGUAGGGGAGCAUACUCACAGCGUCGAAUGGUGUACGUAAGUUAUCCUGGAGCGGUGAGUAAAGCAAAUGUAGGAAUAAGUAACGAUAAGGAGGGUUAGAUUCCCUCCCGCUGUAAGACCAAGGUUUCCCGGGCAAUGCCAAUCAGCCCGGGGUCAGUCGGGUCCUAAGUCUAAGCCGAACGGCGAUGGCGAUGGCAGAGACGGUUAAUAUUCCGUCACUGCCGCAUGGGGCGACGUGGAGACGGAGCAGUGAAACCACCGCGGGGCGACGGAAGUCCCCGUUGAAGAGUGUAGGUGUUGAGGAUGGCAGGCAAAUCCACCAUCCGAGCUGAACUUGAGAGUACGGAGUCCUCUUCGGAGGAAUCUGAUAGUGUGGGUAAUCAUACUCCCGAGAAAAUCCGCUAAGCUUAACCCAUGCGGCACCCGUACCGCAAACGGACACACGUGGUCGGGUAGAACAUACUAAGGCGUUGAGAGAUUCAUGGUUAAGGAACUAGGCAAAUUGACCCUGUAACUUCGGGAUAAAGGGUCCUCGUGAUGAGCGAGGCGCAGAGAAUAGGUCCAGGCAACUGUUUAACAAAAACACAGGGCUGUGCAAACUCGAAAGAUGACGUAUACAGCCUGACACCUGCCCGGUGCCGGAAGGUUAAGAGGAGAUGUCACUCGCAAGAGGAAGCAUUGAAUUGAAGCCCCGGUAAACGGCGGCCGUAACUAUAACGGUCCUAAGGUAGCGAAAUUCCUUGUCGGGUAAGUUCCGACCUGCACGAAUGGUGUAAUGAUCUGGACACUGUCUCAACCGUGAGCUCAGUGAAAUUGUAGUAUCGGUGAAGAUGCCGAUUACCCGCGAUGGGACGAAAAGACCCCGUGAACCUUUACUACAGCUUAGCAUUGACCUUGGUCAUCCGAUGUGUAGGAUAGGCCGGAGGCUUCGAAGCGGGAGCGCCAGCUUUCGUGGAGCCAUCCUUGAAAUACGGCCCUUUGGCUGUCUGAGGUCUAACGCGUGAUACGCGGACACUGCUUGGUGGGUAGUUUGACUGGGGUGGUCGCCUCCAAAAGCGUAACGGAGGCUUCCAAAGGUGCCCUCGGGUCGAUUGGUAACCGACCUCAAAGAGUGCAAUGGCAUAAGGGCGCUUGACUGGGAGGCAGACAUGCCGAGCAGGCAGGAAACUGGGGCAUAGUGAUCCGGCGGAUGUGUAUGGAAACUCCGUCGCUCAAAGGAUAAAAGGUACUCCGGGGAUAACAGGCUGAUCCCCCCCAAGAGCUCAUAUCGACGGGGUGGUUUGGCACCUCGAUGUCGGCUCGUCACAUCCUGGGGCUGGAGAAGGUCCCAAGGGUUCGGCUGUUCGCCGAUUAAAGUGGCACGCGAGCUGGGUUCAGAACGUCGUGAGACAGUUCGGUCUCUAUCUAUCGUGGGCGUGGGAGUUUUGAGUGGUGCCGUCACUAGUACGAGAGGACCGUGAUGGACAGACCUCCGGUUUACCAGUUGUGCCGCCAGGCGCACCGCUGGGUAUCUGAGUCUGGAUUGGAUAAGCGCUGAAAGCAUCUAAGUGCGAAGCCAGCCGCAAGAUGAGAACUCCAUUGA
rnacentral:rRNA from 1 species